CUUGUGGAGAGUAUACAAAGAUGUGAGUAGUAUUUGAAUUUAUUCAAUGCAAAAACAUACUCGAUGAAGCAAGAA
rnacentral:sRNA from 12 species